GACGAACGCUGGCGGCGUGCCUAAUACAUGCAAGUAGAACGCUGAAGAGAGGAGCUUACUCUUCUUGGAUGAGUUGCGAACGGGUGAGUAACGCGUAGGUAACCUGCCUUGUAGCGGGGGAUAACUAUUGGAAACGAUAGCUAAUACCGCAUAACACUGGAUGACACAUGUCAUUUAUUUGAAAGGGGCAAUUGCUCCACUACAAGAUGGACCUGCGUUGUAUUAGCUAGUAGGUGAGGUAAUGGCUCACCUAGGGGACGAUACAUAGCCGACCUGAGAGGGUGAUCGGCCACCCUGGGACUGAGACACGGCCCAGACUCCUACGGGAGGCAGCAGUAGGGAAUCUUCGGCAAUGGGGGCAACCCUGACCGAGCAACGCCGCGUGAGUGAAGAAGGUUUUCGGAUCGUAAAGCUCUGUUGUAAGUCAAGAACGGGUGUGAGAGUGGAAAGUUCACACUGUGACGGUAGCUUACCAGAAAGGGACGGCUAACUACGUG
rnacentral:rRNA from 1 species